AAAUUCCAGAUUUAGAACGACACUCCAAAAUAUGGAAAUAAAUCAACCAAAAAAGAAAAUAAAUAUCACAUAAAUGUAUAACUAUUUCACUGUGGCUUGUAAAAACACUUUAUGUUCAAGUAGGUAGAA